UACGGAAGGCAGCAGUGGGGAAUAUUGCACAAUGGGCGCAAGCCUGAUGCAGCCAUGCCGCGUGUAUGAAGAAGGCCUUCGGGUUGUAAAGUACUUUCAGUCGUGAGGAAGGUGUUAAGGUUAAUAACCUUAGCAGUUGACGUUAGCGACAGAAGAAGCACCGGCUAACUCCGUGCCAGCAGCCGCGGUAAUACGGAGGGUGCGAGCGUUAAUCGGAAUUACUGGGCGUAAAGGGCACGCAGGCGGUUAAUUAAGUUGGAUGUGAAAUCCCCGGGCUUAACCUGGGAAUGGCAUUCAAGACUGGUUAGCUAGAGUCUUGUAGAGGGGGUAGAAUUCCAUGUGUAGCGGUGAAAUGCGUAGAGAUGUGGAGGAAUACCGGUGGCGAAGGCGGCCCCUGGACAAAGACUGACGCUCAUGUGCGAAAGCGUGGGGAGCAAACAGGGAUUAGAUACC
rnacentral:rRNA from 1 species